GCGGACGUAGUCAAGUCGACCAAGGCAGUGGAUUGUGAAUCCACCACGCACGGGUUCAAUUCUCGUCAUUCACC
rnacentral:tRNA from 1 species